AAUGACAACAAAAAUAGCUUGUGUGUUCCCUAACCCCACCAUACAUAAAUACAUAACACCCACACGACUCAGGAUUUAGCACCACGGCUUCCAGAUAAAGAUUUGAGAAACAGUACACAGACUUCCCUCCGUGCUAACAGAGAUGGGCUAGUCACAGCUCACAAACUCCUGGCCGUUAUCCAAUUCUGUUACCUGUCAGCUUUGCCGAAGUCAGAAGUGGACCUCUGAUGAUGGGCUUUCCAUGACAAUGAGACACGUCUGCUCCUGGCAGCACCAGCUACUUCAGUUGGAGGAUGGGAAUCGAAGAUGCUCCUUAUCGAGUUUGAUAGCCAUUUGGGCAAGAAACUGCUCUUGCCUGGACUGUUGCAUAAACUGGACAGGAAGAACCCGCAGAGAGAGGACUGCUGAACUUGCCUAAAGGUGAGAUGGUUCUUCAGGGUUCCUGAUUCAUGAAAGAGUCUGUGAGACAUUCUGCAGGACACAGAAGAAAGUGACUGAACUGUCUUUGAAAUUUCCUGCUUCAUGGGGGAGUCUGCUGGAUACUAUGGGCCUGAGGGUUGAGGAUAGAUGCCCCAAUGGUACAGAAAAACUUUGGGUGCCUGUCCAGGCAGCGAGAUGUUCUGUCAUUUCUAGAGUUUUGGAAGUUGCUUACUUCUUGUUUACUUCGGUAAUAUUAUAUCCUUCUGGAGUCUUUGAUGGAGUUGAAGAAUAGAUAGAUAGUUAUAGUUUUCCUUUGUUAUAAUAAAAGAUAAAAUAGAUCUAAAUACUGUAAUUGUAAUUUUUGCUUGAUAACUGUUUUGUUAUAUGUAAUUUUACUAUGUUAAAGUGGAACCCUUUCUUUUUGUUUAAACAGAAAAAGGGGAAAUGGUGUAGGAGGUUCUUCUGUUUGUGUGUUGCUUUCAUUGGUUGAAUAAAGAGACUGCCUUGGCCUUAAGUGGGUGGAGUAGACAGAAUAGAAUGCUGGGAAGAAGGGAAGUGUGGCAGACACCAUGAAUCUUCGGCCUGAGAUGGAUGUAGUUUAGACUCUCUCCCAGUAAGCCACGACCUCGUGGUGACAUACAGAUUAUUAGAUAUGGGUUAAACUAAUAUGUGAGAGUUAGCCAAUAAGAGGCUAGACUUAA